GAAUUCUAUAAAUCUGAAGACUAAGCUUUAAAAAAAAUCAUCAGAGGAAAGGAAUUUGUAGAAAUAAAACUGGAAACAUCCAGAAUCUUGAUGGUGUGCCAAACCAGAUGUCAACUGGAGCUCGACCAAAACCUGAACCUUAUGAAACAUGUAAAUGUGUGUAGGCUGCCCAAAAAUAGGCCCUGAGUUGAAGAUUAACAGCCUCUGAGAUUCCUUAAUGACUUCUCUCCUGACAUGCUAUAUUUGUUAAAGAAACAAAUAUAUACUGGGCUCCAGAAAUAUAUGCGUGGGUUUUUUCUUUUUAAGAGAGUAUUGUUUUAG